UACGUAGGGUGCAAGCGUUGUCCGGAAUUAUUGGGCGUAAAGAGCUCGUAGGCGGUUCGUUGCGUCGGCUGUGAAAACCUGAGGCUCAACCUCAGGCCUGCAGUCGAUACGGGCGGACUUGAGUACUGCAGGGGAGACUGGAAUUCCUGGUGUAGCGGUGAAAUGCGCAGAUAUCAGGAGGAACACCGGUGGCGAAGGCGGGUCUCUGGGCCGAUAUUGACGCUGAGGAGCGAAAGCGUGGGGAGCGAACAGG
rnacentral:rRNA from 1 species